rnacentral:rRNA from 1 species
AUUGAACGCUGGCGGCAUGCCUUACACAUGCAAGUCGAACGGCAGCACGGGUGCUUGCACCUGGUGGCGAGUGGCGAACGGGUGAGUAAUAUAUCGGAACGUACCUUAUUGUGGGGGAUAACGCAGCGAAAGCUGUGCUAAUACCGCAUAAUCCCUAAGGGGGAAAGCGGGGGACCGUAAGGCCUCGCGCAAUUAGAGCGGCCGAUACCUGAUUAGCUAGUUGGUGAGGUAAAGGCUCACCAAGGCAACGAUCAGUAGCUGGUCUGAGAGGACGAUCAGCCACACUGGGACUGAGACACGGCCCAGACUCCUACGGGAGGAAGCAGUGGGGAAUUUUGGACAAUGGGGGCAACCCUGAUCCAGCAAUGCCGCGUGAGUGAAGAAGGCCUUCGGGUUGUAAAGCUCUUUUGUCAGGGAAGAAACAGCAGCUCUAACACAGUAUGCGAAUGACGGUACCUGAAGAAUAAGCACCGGCUAACUACGUGCCAGCCGCCGCUGUAA